rnacentral:rRNA from 1 species
CAGUCGAGCGGAACGAGUUAUCUGAACCUUCGGGGGACGAUAACGGCGUCGAGCGGCGGACGGGUGAGUAAUGCCUAGGAAAUUCGCCCUGAUGUGGGGGAUAACCAUUGGAAACGAUGGCUAAUACCGCAUGAUGCCUACGGGCCAAAGAGGGGGACCUUCGGGCCUCUCGCGUCAGGAUAUGCCUAGGUGGGAUUAGCUAGUUGGUGAGGUAAGGGCUCACCAAGGCGACGAUCCCUAGCUGGUCUGAGAGGAUGAUCAGCCACACUGGAACUGAGACACGGUCCAGACUCCUACGGGAGGCAGCAGUGGGGAAUAUUGCACAAUGGGCGCAAGCCUGAUGCAGCCAUGCCGCGUGUAUGAAGAAGGCCUUCGGGUUGUAAAGUACUUUCAGUCGUGAGGAAGGCGGCGUCGUUAAUAGCGGCGUUGUUUGACGUUAGCGACAGAAGAAGCACCGGCUAACUCCGUGCCA